AGGCUAUUUAGCUGUGACAUCUGUCGCCCCAUUGAUCAUCAGUGUUGAUUUGACUGAUCUGUCUGGCUAGAUAGGUAUCUCUUUCCAUACUCACCACUCUAUAUGUGUCUCUCCACCCCAAAUAGAAGGACUGUACCAACAUCUUUGGUUGAGGGUAUAUGAUAGCUGCAGUCCCCUGCUCCAAAACAAGUUCUCAAUUUUAGGACAAUGUAGGGUAGUCAAGUUUCCAAGACUCCAGAAUACAAUAAAAUGGAAUU
rnacentral:snRNA from 1 species